rnacentral:rRNA from 1 species
GAUGAACGCUGGCGGCGUGCCUAAUACAUGCAAGUCGAGCGAACAGACGAGGAGCUUGCUCCUCUGACGUUAGCGGCGGACGGGUGAGUAACACGUGGAUAACCUACCUAUAAGACUGGGAUAACUUCGGGAAACCGGAGCUAAUACCGGAUAAUAUAUUGAACCGCAUGGUUCAAUAGUGAAAGACGGUUUUGCUGUCACUUAUAGAUGGAUCCGCGCCGCAUUAGCUAGUUGGUAGGGUAACGGCUUACCAAGGCAACGAUGCGUAGCCGACCUGAGAGGGUGAUCGGCCACACUGGAACUGAGACACGGUCCAGACGCCUACGGGAGGCAGCAGUAGGGAAUCUUCCGCAAUGGGCGAAAGCCUGACGGAGCAACCCCGCGUGAGUGAUGAAGGUCUUCGGAUCGUAAAACUCUGUUAUUAGGGAAGAACAAAUGUGUAAGUAACUAUGCACGUCUUGACGGUACCUAAUCAGAAAGCCACGGCUAACUACGUG